CGCGUAGGCGGCUUGGCAAGUCAGAUGUGAAAUCCCCGGGCUUAACUUGGGAAUUGCAUCUGAAACUGUUGAGCUUGAGUCCUGGAGGGGAUAGUGGAAUUCCCAGUGUAGCGGUGAAAUGCGUAGAUAUUGGGAGGAACACCUGUGGCGAAGGCGGCUAUCUGGACAGUGACUGACGCUGAGGCGCGAAAGCGUAGGGGAGCGAAC
rnacentral:rRNA from 1 species